CCUUCUCACCCACCCUCCCAUCAACCCUCCCCAACACCCCAUCUCCAGAAGAAGGUCCAUCCAGGGCUUGCUCCCAGGUCUCUCAGUCCAGUGCCAUCUCACAUGGGUUGAGAUGGGUCGUGAGAGCAGCUGAAUAGACACGGCUGAACUCUUGGAAGCGGGGAGCACAGCCCAGCCAAGCUUCGCCAAAUCGGCUCCAGCCCAUGAAGAGGAAGGAGCCUGGGCCAGGACGCACACCACAGCGCAGCAAGGUACGAAUGGAGGCCCGGCCUUGGCCCUCCGAGCUCCCUUCCUUGAACAGUGGCAGUGUCUGGCGGAUGACACGAGCAACCACCACGGUGAUGACUGAUUCUUGCAGCUCUGUGUCAUGGGCGACCCCAUGGAUGGUCCCGUGGAUCACUACGAGGAGACAUGGUGGCCAGUGGUGGGCACGUGGGAAUGUGAGGCAGACCCUAAGCUCUCCCGCAACAGAAACACUCACCAAAGUCACUGGUGCAUGCAGCCAGGAGGAGCUCGGCAUCACUGCAGGGCCUGCAGGCACCUAGCAUGCAAGGCAGGUCAUCAGCCAGGCAUGUGAUCUCUCAGCACGAGCCCACAGCUCCUCCCAAGAGGAAAAGGUACAGGAGCAAGCGAAUAAACCCUUCUCCCAGCAUCCUAUAGCCUGAAGACACCCUGCAGGUACAUGCCUACUGAUGGGCACCUCAGUGCCUCAUACACAGGCUUGGUACCAUCUCAUAAACUCAGACUAACACUGGGAAACGUUCUGUGACUUCCCAGCUCUAGCUAGGGAUAUUCUAGUGGACUCCAGUUCGGGGGGUCUCUAGCUAGGGCAGAACAGUCAGAGAGCCAUCCAUUCCCUGCAGGGUCAGGCUACAAGUUCCAGAAGAGCAAAGCACUGGGCCUGGUGCCCUGCAGGGAGGCAGGGCAGGCAGUCUCCAUGGUGACGAAGAGGCACACUGGACUUUUGUUGGCUGGGCUUGGGGGGAGGGGAAGGAGGUCACCACCAGGCCAGGGAGCCCUGGACAGCCUUGGCCAUAGGCUUUGAUUCUGCCUCAGCUUAACCCUUCCCCCAAUCCUUCAGAAACCAGAGACCCAGGGCUGGCCUCUCCGGCAUUUGCCCCCUCCUGCUCUUUUCCUAAACCGAAUCUUUUAAGAGGAGGAGGAGAGAAAGGCGGGAGCACUCCCUACUCACCUCCUUACGACUGGAAGCCACUAUGCUCUCCACCGGAGUGGCCUCUGUCAAGCUACAGAAGGACUCUCCAUGCAAUGGGGUGGCAAGGCCCAGUCCCAUCAGGCCAGUGAGGUGGGCCAAUUUCUGACACCCAGCCAGUCUCAUAAUCACUCACCAUCCACACCAAGACCUUGAGCCUGGGGAGACAUUUCUGCACGUUGGUCCUCGUGCAGUUCAAAACGGAAGGCAGCAACUCUGCGGCUGAUGUCGCGGUGUGGUGUGGCCUGCAGGAAAAGGGCUCGGCGCUCGCGGGGACCCCAGCGCAUGCAGCGGCCCCCAGCCAGGUCCGGGCCCUCGGCCAGUAGCAACUCUAGAUUGCCGGUCAUACGUUCUGCGAAGACCUGGGCACCAGCGAAGGGCCGCUCUGGGCGCAGACAGACGAUGCUGGGCCGUGUGCCCGGAUCGGGGCCGCCCAGGGUCAGGCGCAGCGCCCCAGCUGGGUACAGCCACUCGAUAGCGCCCUCAGUACAGUCCAGGGUCAGCUGCCCCACGCUGCCAGGCUCCUGGGUCAAACCGCUGGGGACAGGACGGUGGUUCUCAGGUGGGUGACCCUCGUUCCCUAGCCCGCUCAUCCCUUUUCCCGCGGCUACCAACAUCUGCUUCUACUCUGUGCAACAGGACAUUGAAGUCUGCGUUUCCUCAGUUCCAAGUGGGAGGGUGGGUGAGAAGG
ensembl:lincRNA